GGCUCAGGAUGAACGCUAGCUACAGGCUUAACACAUGCAAGUCGAGGGGCAGCAUUAUCGAAGCUUGCUUUGAUAGAUGGCGACCGGCGCACGGGUGAGUAACGCGUAUCCAACCUUCCCCAUAGUCAGGAAUAGCCCGGCGAAAGUCGAAUUAAUGCCUGAUGUUUUCCACGGACGGCAUCUGAUGUGGAACAAAGAUUCAUCGCUAUGGGAUGGGGAUGCGUCUGAUUAGCUUGUUGGCGGGGUAACGGCCCACCAAGGCAACGAUCAGUAGGGGUUCUGAGAGGAAGGUCCCCCACAUUGGAACUGAGACACGGUCCAAACUCCUACGGGAGGCAGCAGUGAGGAAUAUUGGUCAAUGGGCGGAAGCCUGAACCAGCCAAGUAGCGUGAGGGAUGACUGCCCUAUGGGUUGUAAACCUCUUUUAUAAGGGAAUAAAAUACGGGACGUGUCCUGUUUUGCAUGUACCUUAUGAAUAAGGACCGGCUAAUUCCGUG
rnacentral:rRNA from 1 species